AGUCCCGCGCGGGCUCGCCCCUCGGGUCGCGAGAGGCGUUGGGAUCGCGGGCGCCGCCUGAGCCAGCGGCUGCUGGGAGGCAGUGUCCGCACGCCUACAAGGGGAGGCGGCCGGGCCCUGCGCCUCAGGUCCUGGGCUGGGGCACCGGGGCGGCAGGUGUGGGAGGCUGUGCGGGCGCCGGGUUGGCGGGUUGUCCAACUGGGGCCUGCGCGGACCGCCCGCGGCGCAGCCUCCUGCCUCUCUCCAUCUCUAAGUGGUAGUGGCUGUAGGUUUUUCUGCAGGUGAUCCUUUUGAGUAAUUUGUUUCAGGCAGGCGCCCUGCUGUUGGGUAAAGCGGCAGAUUCAUGCUGCUGUCACUUGCCGUUCAAACGAUGGGCUUCGUGGCCGGGCGCGGUGGCUCAAGCCUGUAAUCCCAGCACUUUGGGAGGCCGAGACGGGCGGAUCACGAGAUCAGGAGAUCGAGAUCAUCCUGGCUAACAAGGCGUGAGACCUGGGAGGAAGCUGGAGAAAAGAUGCCCUCUGAAUCUUUGUGUUUGGCUGCCCAGGCUCGCCUCGACACCGAAUGGUUGAAAACAGAUAUACAGAGUCUCACUAUGUUGCCCAGGCUGGAAUGCAGUGGCACCGUCUCGGCUCACCGCAGCCUCCACCUUCUGGAUUCAAAUGAUUCUCCUGCCUCAGCCUCCCGAGCCGCUGGGAUUACAGUCUCGCCCUGUCGCCAAGGCUGGAGUGCAGUGGCAUGAUCUCGGCUCACUGCAACCUCCGCCUCAGCUUCUCCUGCCUCAGCUUCCCGAGUAGCCGGUAUUACAGGCGCCUGCCACCACACCUGGCUAAUUUUUGUAUUUUUAGUAGAGACGGGGUUUCACCAUGUUGGCCAGGCUGGUCUUGAACUCCUGACCUUGUGAUCCGCCCGCCUCGGCCUUCCAAAGCGCUGGGAUUACAGAUGAUAGUGUCGAGCAAAGUGGAACAAAGAAAGAAGAUCUGGAUGACAGAGAGAAAAAAGAUGAAGAAACUCCUGCACCUGUAUAUAGUGCCAAGUCAAUUCUGGACAGCUGGGUAUGGGGCAAGCAACCAGAUGUGAAUGAACUGAAGGAGUGUCUUUCUGUGCUGGUUAAAGAGCAGCAGGCCCUGGCCAUCCAGUCAGCCACCACCGCUCUCUCAACCCUGUGACUCAAGCAGAGGCUGGUAAUCUUGGAGCACUGUUUCAUUGCCUUGAACCGUUUUUCAGGAGAAUGUCAAAGUUAAGUGGAAAAGCAGCAUCAUUUCCCUGCCUCCUGUGGACAAAAAAAGGUAAUAUAAAGCGAAGAAAGAAUCCUAAUGGGCCGGGCGCAGUGGCUCACGCCUGUAAUCCCAGCACUUUGGGAGGCCAAGGCUGGUGGAUCACGAGGUCAGGAGAUUGAGACUAUCCUGGCUAACACGGUGAAACCCUGUCUCUACUAAAAAUACAAAAAAAAUUAGCCAGGCAUGGUGGUGGGUGCCUGUAGUCCCAGCUACUUGGGAGGCUGAGGCAGGAGAAUGGCGUGAACCCGGGAGGGAGAGCUUGCAGUGAGCUGAGAUCCGUGUUACUGCACUCCAGCCUGGGCGGCAGAGUGAGACUCCGUCUCAAAAAAAAAAAAGAAUCGUAAUGCCAGUUAAAUAUAAAAUUCAGACUGUUUUGUUUCAGAAAGUUUAAUUAAGAUUUUCAGUAUAGUGUCUGUCUUCACCUUCUGAAAUUUAUUCUUGCUUUCCCUUUUUGUAUGUUUUAUGUAAUCUGGAGAAUGGAUUUGCCAAUUUGCUCAUGUAGUAACAGACCAUACUGUGUAAUCUCUGUCAUUAUUUAUUUUAUUCAAUUAAAUUUUUUUGUUUCUUUUUUUUUCUUUCUUUUUUUUUUUUGAGAGGCAACGUCUUGCACUGUCACCCAGGCUGGGGUGCAGUGGUGUAAUCAUAGCUCAUUCUAACCUUGAAAUCCGGGUCUCUAGUGAUCCUCCUGCCUCAGCCACCUGAGUAGCCGGGACUACAGGCACAUGCAACCAUGCCUGGCUAAAUAAAAAUAAUUUGGGUGUGUGUGUGUGUGCAUGGGGAUGUGGUCUUGCUCCUGGCCUCAAGCAAUCUUCCUGCUUCAACCGCUCAGAGUACUGGGAUUAUAGACGUGAGACACUGCGCCUGGCUCUGUGUCAUUAUUUUAAAGACGUUUUUCUGUCAGUAACUGUGGAAGCCAGCCAAAGCUUUAGAUCAGCUCAAGUAUAAAUUGGAAAAUGAGUUCUGAACAUUGUGUACAUUUUAUUUUGUUUUGCUGCUGGGUAAGGAGAUAGAUUGUAAUGUUUAGUGCCCAUCUAGUUUAGAUGCUUCAUGUUUUUCCUUCCUAAUGUGAUUUUCUUAUUCUUUUAUUACAAGAGAUGCUUUUGGGCCGGGCACGGUGGCUCACGCCUGUAAUCCCAGCACUCUGGGAGGCCGAGGCGGGUGGAUCACCUGAGGUCAGGAGUUCGAGAUCUGACCAACAUGGAGAAACCCCGUCUCUACUAAAAAUAAAAAAAUUAGCCAGGGCGUGGUGGCUCAUGCCUGUAAUCCCAGCUACUCGGGAGGCUGAGGUAGGAGAAUUGCUUGAACUGGGGAGGUGGAGGUUGCGGUGAGUGGAGAUCGUGCCGUUGGACUCCAGCCUGGGCAACAAGAAUGAAGCCCUGUCUCAAAAAGAAAAAAAAAAAAAGUGGGGAUGCUUUUGGGCAUAUGAGUUUUAAUUUGUUGACGCCUGAUAAUAUAUUACAGAUUUCCUCUAUUUGCUAACAGGCACUAGAAUGUUUAAAGCUUAUGUAAAAUUGUACUUUUCCAAAAUGAAGCUGUCUAUCAGACUUUUGUCCUCAGAAGGUUAAACUACAAGAUUGCCAGAUGAAACUAUAUUUUGUGUAGUUAGGAGUGUUGGCUUUAUUUGACUGUGAUAGUGACUUUGACUCCCUGGAGAGCACAUAGAAGGUACAGGAGGCAGGAAGAAACAAGAGCAAAACCCUGAUCGUCUUGCUUCCCAGAGACAGGAGCAAUACUUGUAGCCUGUUUCCUUGUUUUCUUACGUUUUAAUUUUUGUGUUUGUUUUCCUUUUUUGUUUCCUUAUGUUUAAAUAUAGUUGAAAUCACAUUACAGUUGGCUCUCUGUCUGUAUCUGUGGGUUUCACAUCCACAGAUUCAACUAACUGUGGAUCGAAAAUAUUGGAAGAAAAGCCAUAAAAAACAACACAACAAUUAAAAAAUACAAACAACAAUACAAUAUAACAACUAAUUACAGAGCAUUUACCUUGUAGUAGGUGUUAAUCUAGAGAUGAUUUUGUUUGUUUGUUUGUUUGUUUGGACAUGGGGGUCUCACUGUUACCCAGGCCAGUGGGGCUAUCAUGGCUCCCUGCAGCCUUGACCUCCUGGGCUCAAGUGAUUCUCCCACCUCAGCCUCCCAAGUAGCUGGGACUGCAGGCGUGUGCCACAAUGCCUGGCUAAUUUUUGUAUUUUUUGUAGAGCCGGGGUCUCACUGUGUUGCCCAGGCUGGCCUCUAACUCCUGGCCUCAAGUGGUCUGCCUGCCUUGGCCUCCCAAAGUGCUGGGAUUACGAGCAUGAGCCACCACGCCUGGCCAAUUUUUUUUUUCUUUAAUUUGUAUAGAUGGGGUAUUGCCAUGUUGCCCGGGCUGGUCUUGAACCCCUGGGCUCAAGUGACCCUCCUGCCUCGACAUCCCAAAGUGUUGGGAUUAUAGGUGUGAGCCACUGUGCCUGGCUGAGAUCAUUUAAAUUAUACAGGAGGAUGUGCACAGGUUAUAUGCAAAUACUACACCAUUUUAUAUCAGGGUCUUGAGCAUCCUAGGGUUUUGGUAUGGAGCCAGGGGUGGGGCAGGCCUGGUACCAAUCCCCUGCAGAUACCAAGGGAUGACUGCACGUUUUGUAUUUUUGAAAAUAGUUUUAGAGUAAAUUAAACCAAGAGACAGAUGAGAGUCCUACCCAUUUGGUAAUAGGAGUGCCAUCAGGAAGGUUCUUUCCUUCCUUCCUGACCGGCUGUGAUGGUCAUGAAUCAGAGUGUUAUGUACAGGUGGGCGGUAGGUGCUAAGAUUGUCCAAGCACUGUUGUGUGUUUGUCGAAUCAAACUGAAUUCCCUCAGCUGCAGAAAUGGCUGAGAGCCCAGCUGAUUUUUCUCUGUGCUGUUUCCUUUGUGAUGACAUAGGGUUGAUGGAUUAAUUGGAAUAUAGCUUUCAUUAAUUGGAAGAAUUCCUAAAAUUUAAAAAAAGCCUCUUUUUGAGAUAAUUGUGGAUUCACAUACAGUUGUAAGAAAUAGUAUAGAGAUUCUUUUACUGUUCGCCCCAUUGCCCUCAAUGGUAGCUAGUUGCAAACUAUGACACAGUCAUCAGAACUAGGGUGUUUACUUUGGUAGUCUGCCUAUCUUAUUCAGAUUUUCCCAGUUUUACAUGCUCUCAAUUGUAUGUGUAUUUCUUUGCAGUUUUUUCAUGUGUGGAUUUUCUGAGACCUCCACUGCAAUCAGGGUACAUAGACAAGGGCCCUUUAUACCCACAUUCACAUCUUCUCUCCCCACCCUACCUGCUGGCAACCACUCAUCUGUUCUCUGUGUCUAUUAUGUGAUUUUUUGACAUUGGCUUUUUAAUUUUUUAUUAUCGUUAUUACUGUAAUUUUUGGAGACAGAGUCUCACCCUGAUGCCCAAGCUGGAGUGCAGUGAUACAAUCAUAGCUCACUGCAGCCUCAGACUCCUGGGCUCAAGCAGUCCUCUCAUUUCAGCUUCCUGAGUAGCUGGUACCACAGAUGCAUGACACCACACCCAGCUCAUUUUGUAUUUGUAGAGACUGGGGUCUUGUUAUGUUUCCCAGGCUUGUCUUGAACUCCUGGCCUCAAGCAAGAUUGACUUUUUUCACUUAGCAUAAUCCCCUUGACAUUUUCCCAAGGAGGUCGUUGCAUGUAUCAUUAUUGCUGAGUAGUGAUUUUUUUUUUUUUUUUUUUUUUUUUUUUUGGAGACAGUCUUGCUUUGUUGCCCAGGCCAGGCUGGAGUGCAGUGGUGCGAUCUUGGCUCACUGCAGCCUCCACCUCCCAGGUUCAAGCAGUUCUGCCACAGCCUCCCAAGUAGCUGGGACUACAGGCAUGCACCACCAUGCCUGGCUAAUUUUUGUAUUUUUAGUAGAGACGGGGUUUUGCCAUGCUGGCCAAGCUGGUCUCAAACUCCUGACCUAAAGUGACUCACCAACCUCCUCUGACCACACUUGGCCCAUGUGCUUUCUCUUGUAAGGACUGUGUGUCCUGUUACAUGUCUGUGUCUUCUCAUGUUCAUAUUUCUCAUUUAGGAUUCAGGAGCAAAGAUUUCCGUCUUCCAGGUACCCAGUGCCCUUCUCAGAGGUUCUCGUGUUUCCUCUCUGAGCUCCCGGUGCAUUAUUCAGGCACUUGUGGAUAAGCGUGUACCGUUGCCCUGGCCAGCCGUGUUCUUCUUUGCCAUUUUUAUUACACGUCGUAUCUUGGGGAGAUCCUUCCAUAACAUCCCUGUUUGUUGUUUUUUUGUUUUUUGAGAUGGAGUCUCGCUCUGCCUCCCAGGCUGGAGUGCAGUGGUGCAAUCUUGGCUCACUGCAGCCUCCGCCUCCCAGGUUCAAGUGAUUCGCCUGCCUCAGCCUCUGAGUAGCUGGGAUUACAGGCAUGCCACCACCACACCUGGCUACUUUUUAUAUUUUUAGUGGAGACAGGGUUUCAUCCUUUUGGCCAGGCUGGUCUUGAACUCCGUAUCACCUGUUUUUAUAGCGUAUCCCCUGAUCAUGAAAGCAAAUUUUAGUAAAUUUGGAGAAUAUAGUCUAUAGUAGCAAUACUGUAAUAUACAUAUAUUACAAAUAUGAUAUAGUAUAAAGUAUAAAACAAAAUUACUUUCUAUGCAUGAUUGAGUUGAGAUUAUGCCUUUUUGUAUUCUAGGCUUUUCUCUCUUGUACAGGAUGAUUUUUAUGGUGUACCAUUGCAUAACCUUUUACUACAUGCGGAAUGAAACUGUGACUUGUGAAAUUAACAUACACAAGUAGUGAAGAGCUUAAAAACACACAGGAGGGUGAUGAGCACCACCCUCAGAACAGGGCAACUCCCCAUGGGGUGGGUCAAGCACACAGGGCUUCACCCAUGGCCAGGAGCAGACCCCGAAUGGAGGACGUCGGAGCUGGGGCGAGCCAGGCUACCCCGUGCGGCUCUGCUGCUCUUCUUCCAGCUCCUCUCUGGCCUGGUCUCCCAUGUGGGGUUUAUUCUCCCUCUGUUUAUGUAUUUAUCUGUUUAUCGUCUGCUUCCUCCCACUAGAAUCUCACUUUGGGAGGUCAUUUCAUGAGCAUUUUCCCAAGACAUUUAAAAUUCCUUAUACAUUUCUUUGAUUCUUAAAGAGAAAACUUUUCAUUUACAAAAGACAUUUGAUGAAAGUUGUUAAACAACAAAACGAAAAAUCCACUUGUGAUCCUGUCACUUGAAGAAAACCAUUGGUCGGAUUUUGGUACACACCCUUUCGUAGUAUUGAUUUUAUGUAGUAUCUGCACCCUCUGCUGCUAACUGGUUGUAUGUUCCGUGUGUGUCAUCUGCAGUUCCCGGCCUCUGAGGAAAGGUGUGGAGGGGCUCGCCAGAGUGGGAUCCCGAGCGGCGCUGUCUUUCGCCUUCGCCUUCCUGCGCAGGGCUUGGCGAUCGGGUACGGUCCCUGGUGUGGCACAUUGUUCUGCUUCCCUAACCCAUCAACAGACUGGGUUUCGAGCUCGGUUCAGCCACCAUGUACCCUUCGGCUGAUCCCAUGUGCUCUCUGUGCCUCAGUUUCCUUGCUUGUGAGAUGAGAGGCUGCAGAGGCUGUUUGCCUUUUCACGUCUGUGCUUUAAAGAAAAAAAAGAGUGCAUGCACCCUCACCCCCACGUCAAUCACUACCAUGGAACACCUGAGUACAGACUUAAUUCUAGAAGGACAAGAAGUUAGUGUAUUGCUCAUGUGACAGCCGUGAAACACAGAAUUGACUGGAACAGCUGCGCUAGAUUUUGGCCUGUUGAGUGAGGGAUUGGAAAGGUGACAGUGGCGUUGGCUCUCGCUGAGGGGUGGGAAGCCCAGCGGGAGAGUGAGGGGAGUGGGCGGGCUCCUCUGACACGUGUGUGCGCCCAGGCGAGGAUGCGGACCUCUGCAGUGAGCUGUUGCAGGAGUCCCUGGACGCCCUGCGAGCACUUCCCGAGGCCUCGCUCUUCGACGAGAGCACCAUGGCCUCUGUGUGGCUGGAGGUGGUGGAAAGAGCGACCAGGUUCCUCAGGUCCGUCGUGACGGGGGAUGUUCACGGAACACCAGGCACCAAAGGGCCAGAAGCGUCCGCCUGCAGGACCAGCACUUGGCCCUUGGCUAUCCUGCUGUUGGUGGCUGUGCAGAGAGGCACGCUGAGCCUCCCAAUGUUGUCUGCCAUCCUGUUAUUGCUUCAGCUGUGGGACAGUGGGGCACAGGAGACUGACAAUGAGCGUUCUGCCUAAGGCACCAGUGCCCCACUUUUGCCCUUGCUGCAAAGGUUCCAGAGCAUCAUUUGCAGGAAGGAUACACCCCACUCCGAGGGCGACAUGCACCUUUUGUCUGGUCCUCUGAGCCCCAGUGAGAGUUUCCUGAGGUACCUCACCCUUCCACAAGACAACGAGCUUGCCAUUGAUCUGCGACAAACGGCGGUUGUUGUCAUGGCCCAUUUAGACCGUCUGGCUACGCCCUGUAUGCCUCUGCUGUGUAGCUCUCCGACAUCUCAUAAGGUCCCACAGCUGGUCCAAGGCCUCGCCUCCAGAAACGUUGUAAAAAUUGCUGCCCAUUCUGAUGGUCACCAUUACCUAGCCUUGGCUGCCACUGGAGAGGUGUACUCCUGGGGCUGUGGGGAUGGCAGACGGCUGGGCCACGGGGACACUGUGCCUCUGGAGGAGCCUAAGGUGAUCUCUGCCUUCUCUGGAAAGCAGGCCGGGAAGCACGUGGUGCACAUCGCUUGCGGGAGCACUUACAGUGCGGCCAUCACUGCCGAGGGGGAGCUGUACACCUGGGGCCGUGGGAACUACGGCCGGCUGGGCCAUGGCUCCAGUGAGGAUGAGGCCAUUCUGAUGCUGGUAGCUGGGCUUAAAGGACUGAAGGUCAUCAAUGUGGCACGUGGGAGUGGGGAUGCUCAAACCCUGGCUGCCACUGAGAAUGGACAAGUGUGGUCUUGGGGAGAUGGUGACUAUGGGAAAUUGGGCAGAGGUGGUAGUGAUGGCUGCAAAACCCCAAAGCUGAUUGAAAAGCUUCAAGACUUGGAUGUGGUCAAAGUCUGCUGUGGGAGUCAGUUUUCCAUUGCUUUGAUGAAAAGUGGCCAAGUUUAUUCAUGGGGAAAAGGUGACAACCAGAGACUUGGACACGGAACAGAGGAACAUAUUUGUUAUCCAAAACUCUUAGAAGGCUUGCAAGGGAAGAAGGUGAUUGAUGUGGCUGCAGGCUCCACCCACUGCCUGGCUCUGACUGAGGACAGCGAGGUCCACAGCUGGGGGAGCAACGACCAGUGCCAGCACUUUGACACCUUGCGCGUGACCAAGCCAGAACCUGCAGCAUUGCCAGGACUGGACACCAAACACAUAGUGGGAAUUGCCUGCGGGCCUGCCCAGAGCUUUUCUUGGUCAUCGUGUUCUGAGUGGUCCAUUGGCCUCCGUGUCCCUUUUGGGGUGGAUAUUUGCUCAGUGACUUUUGAGCAGCUGGAUCUCCUGCUUCGGCAAGUGAGUGAGGGGAUGGAUGGCUCCGCGGACUGGCCCCCGCCCCAGGAGAAAGAGCGCGUGGCUGUGGCAGCGCUGAAUCUUCCCCGACUUCAGUUGCAUGCUGCCAUUAGUCACCAGGUUGACCUGGAAUUCCUUGGUUUAGGUCUGGGCAGCGUCUUCCUGAACAGCCUGAAGCAGACAGUGGUGACCCUGGCAAGCAGCGCAGACGUGCUGAGCACGGUGCAGUCGGCCUCCCAGGCCAUGCUGCAGAGCGGCUGGUCCAUGCUGUUGCCCACCGCCGAGAAGCAGGCCCAGGCACUCUGCUCUCCUGCCCUGCGGAGUUUCAGGCAAUGAAGUGAACAUAAGUCCAGGUCAUCGAUUGGUGAUUGAUCUUCUGGUGGGCAGCUUGAUGGCUGCUGGAGGGUUGGAGUCAGCCUUAUACGCAGCCAUUACUGCAGAGAUCCAGGAUACAAAAAAAGAAGCAUGGAAGGAAAAAGAAAUUGAUGAACAGGAAGCGAAUGCCUCAACAUUUCAUAGAAGGAGGACUCCAUUGGAUAAAGACCUUAUUAAUACGGGGAUCUGUGAGUCUUCUGGCAAACAGUGUUUGCCUCUGGUUCAGCUCAUACAACAGCUUCUUAGGUAAAUCAUAUUAGCUGUAUUGUAUUGUGUUUUAUUUAUUUACUUUUUUUUUUUUUUUGAGACAGAGUCUCGCUCUUGUUGCCCAGGCCGGAGUGCAGUGGUGCGAUCUUGACUCACUGCAACCUCCGUCUCCCAGGUUCAAGUAAUUCCUCUGCCUCAGCCUCUCGAGCAGCUGGGAUUACAGGCAUGCGCCACCAUGCUCCACUAAUUUUGUAGUUUUAUUAGAGACGGGGUUUCUUCAUGUUGGUCAGGCCAGUCUUGAACUCCCGACCUCAGGUGGUCCAUCCACUUUGGCCUCCCAAAAUGUUGGGAUUACAGGCAUUAGCCACCACUCCUGGCCUAUUUAUUUACUUAUUAAUGGUGUUUUUUUUUUUUUUUUUUUUUUUUGAGGUGGAGUCUUGCUCUAUCGUCCAGGCUGGAGUGCAGUGUCACGAUCUUGGCUCACUGCAACCCCCGCCUCCUGGGUUCAAGCUAUUCUCCUGCCUCAGCCUCCCAAGUAGCUGGGACGACAGGCAUCUGCAACCACACCUGGCUGAUUUUUGUAUUUUUAGUAGAGAUGAGGUUUUACCAUACUGGUCAGGCUGGUCUCAAAUUCCUGACGUCAGGUGACCCACCUGCCUUGGCCUCUCAAAAUGUUGGGAUUACAGGUGUUAGCCACUGUGCCUGGCCUGUAUUGUAUUUUAAUAGGUGAUUAUUGGUUUUCAUAUUAAGAUAGUGAAAUCUAGCACAAGGAUCUCAAAAAUUUGUUUGGUGAGUGAAGGAAUAUUCUGAAAAUUACCUAGUAUAGAUGUUAGGAUAAAGAGCAGACCCUUCUCAAUAUAGGUGAGAGGAGAAGUUGGAGGGUAUGAUGAUACUCAGAAGUUUUUCACAGAAGAGAAAUUGGGGUGUGCAGUAAACAUGUAAAAAGAUUCUUACUAAUAAGCAGGUGGAUGCAAAUGAAAAUCAUCAUGGAAGGUUAUUUUUAAAACUGAUUGUAUCAUUGCCUCACCUUAUAUAUUACAGAGUUAUACAUACUACUUUGUAAGAUAACUUUUCUUUUCAAAACUGAAGUCAAUGUGAUAGAAUGGUGAGCAUUAUUUUGGAAGGCCAGACUAGGAGGAGGUGGGAGGAAGAAGUCAGACUCAGCCUGUGAACAGAGGCUAACCUUGGCAGAAGCCAAAACAGUCAGACAGUGUUGUCUAAAAAUGAUCAUUCAAGAAGAGUGAAACAGCAAAGUGAUUUGUGAAAGAGAUUUAUUAGAAAAUGAAACACAUUUACACCUCUGUUCAAUAAAAAUCUGCUUUUUGUCAA